rnacentral:rRNA from 1 species
CAGCCGCCGCGGGAAUACGUAGGGUGCAAGCGUUAAUCGGAAUUACUGGGCGUAAGGCGUGCGCAGGCGGUUAUAUAAGACAGAUGUGAAAUCCCCGGGCUCAACCUGGGACCUGCAUUUGUGACUGUAUAGCUAGAGUACGGUAGAGGGGGAUGGAAUUCCGCGUGUAGCAGUGAAAUGCGUAGAUAUGCGGAGGAACACCGAUGGCGAAGGCAAUCCCCUGGACCUGUACUGACGCUCAUGCACGAAAGCGUGGGGAGCGAACAGGAUUAGAUACCCGUGUAGUCCCUGUCUCUUAUAC